AUGAACGCUGGCGGUAUGCUUAACACAUGCAAGUCGAACGGUGUCUUCGGACAUAGUGGCGGACGGGUGAGUAACGCGUGAGAAUCUGGCUUCAGGUCUGGGACAACCACUAGAAAUGGUGGCUAAUACCGGAUGUGCCGAGAGGUGAAAGGCUUGCUGCCUGAAGAUGAGCUCGCGUCUGAUUAGCUAGUUGGUAGUGUAAUGGACUACCAAGGCGACGAUCAGUAGCUGGUCUGAGAGGAUGAUCAGCCACACUGGGACUGAGACACGGCCCAGACUCCUACGGGAGGCAGCAGUGGGGAAUUUUCCGCAAUGGGCGAAAGCCUGACGGAGCAAUACCGCGUGAGGGAGGAAGGCUCUUGGGUUGUAAACCUCUUUUCUCAGGGAAGAAAACAAUGACGGUACCUGAGGAAUAAGCAUCGGCUAACUCCGUGCCAGCAGCCGCGGUAAUACGGAGGAUGCAAGCGUUAUCCGGAAUGAUUGGGCGUAAAGCGUCCGCAGGUGGCUGUGUAAGUCUGCUGUUAAAGAGUCUAGCUCAACUAGAUAAAGGCAGUGGAAACUACACGGCUAGAGUGCGUUCGGGGCAGAGGGAAUUCCUGGUGUAGCGGUGAAAUGCGUAGAGAUCAGGAAGAACACCGGUGGCGAAGGCGCUCUGCUAGGCCGCAACUGACACUGAGGGACGAAAGCUAGGGGAGCGAAUGGGAUUAGAUACCCCAGUAGUCCUAGCCGUAAACGAUGGAUACUAGGCGUGGCUUGUAUCGACCCGAGCCGUGCCGUAGCUAACGCGUUAAGUAUCCCGCCUGGGGAGUACGCACGCAAGUGUGAAACUCAAAGGAAUUGACGGGGGCCCGCACAAGCGGUGGAGUAUGUGGUUUAAUUCGAUGCAACGCGAAGAACCUUACCAAGGCUUGACAUGUCGCGAAUCUCCUUGAAAGGGGAGAGUGCCUUCGGGAGCGCGAACACAGGUGGUGCAUGGCUGUCGUCAGCUCGUGUCGUGAGAUGUUGGGUUAAGUCCCGCAACGAGCGCAACCCUCGUUUUUAGUUGCCAGCACUUCGGGUGGGCACUCUAGAGAGACUGCCGGUGACAAACCGGAGGAAGGUGGGGAUGACGUCAAGUCAGCAUGCCCCUUACGCCUUGGGCUACACACGUACUACAAUGCUCCGGACAGAGGGCAGCAAGCUAGCGAUAGCAAGCUAAUCCCAUAAACCGGAGCUCAGUUCAGAUCGCAGGCUGCAACUCGCCUGCGUGAAGGAGGAAUCGCUAGUAAUUGCAGGUCAGCAUACUGCAGUGAAUUCGUUCCCGGGCCUUGUACACACCGCCCGUCACACCAUGGAAGCUG
rnacentral:rRNA from 1 species